GGAGUCUAUGGGGAGUCUAAGGACCCUUUUGGACCCAGCCUUUAGCGGCCAUCAAUGAAUUGCAGUUUUAGUCACUUUCGUGUUAGUCUCAGGCAUCACGCCCAUGGACCAUUGGCUAAAUGUCUGAUGCAUAUGGGACACAAAAGUAAAAGUCAACACAAAAGUCAUCAUUGGAUUGUUUGAAUUAUACAGAAUCUCCUGGAGAUGUGUGUGUUGCAUUCUUUAACGUUCCACCUGUAAACAAAGAUGACGUGCCGCCAAACACCCUCACGAAAGAAGAAAACUGUCCGGUUUACAACUGUGACGAUGAAAACUUAUCAGGAUCAACUAAACGCUGGGUUUUCAAAAUGAUUGGCGUGGGGAACCCGCAUUUAAGGAGCGCGACAGCCGGCGAAAGGAGAGAGAGACGGGGACUCGUGAGCGCAGGAAGCUGGAGAGCGAUCGAGCAAGUCAGAUGCAGUAUUCGUGGCCGAAGUGCUGUUAGAGAGUGCGCGCACCUGCCGCGCUUGUUUGUUUAUUUGUUUUGUUUUUGUUUUGGAAUAAAGCCUCUCACGAGCCCCGUACGCCGACUCUGGUCUCCUUCCUCUACUCUGAUUGAACUUUCAUUACACAACCAACCAACGCUUUCACAGAACAGCUUUCAACAUUUACACCACUAGAACAAUUAUUGACAAUUUUUAAUCCGCAGAAGAGACUGUCAAAGUUGUUGUUCGCAAGUGAAAUGCAACGCUGGACAUCACAUGAAAAACCAUGAGAGUACUACACAAGUUCCACUGACUUCCCCCACCUAGCAGAACCAGACUGAAAUUACUAAAGGGGGGGUGGGACUUGUAACCUUUGGUCUCCACAGAAUAUUCCUAUGUCAUAGAAUGACAAAGAAACUGUCUUUUGUACAUAUAUAUGGACCAAAAUGAACUCCAAAAUGACUUCUAAAUGAAUAUCAUUCCAUCGCUUAACUCCAUAUUAAUUUACAUGUAACCCACACAUUUGACUGUCAUGUUAUAAUCACUUAUUGUGUAUGUCUUUUGAUAACUAUGGGAACUUAAGGCUACAUAGUCAUGCCUAGUAUCUAUGUAAUUGAAUCUGCUUGCUUGAUAUUGUCCUGACAAUCAAUUAUUGGUCAAAUCUAUCAUAUUCGUGUUAUAGGAAUCAUGUCCAAAAUUAGACCCUGCAAGAGCGUUAAAAUUCGGACCCCAUGCUUGGUAAGAUAAACAUAUGAUUUAUGAUGCCCCCGAGCCAAGACAAUAUCUGAUUGGUCAAGACAACAUUUGAGGUGUGGCCAACAGGCCAGUUUAAAUACUUCGGACACCAUAAAAUCUUGCUUUAGUUGUUAGCUUUGCUUUUGCUACUAGUCAUACCUGCUUUUAGUUGUAGCCUUGCUUUUGCUAUUAGUCAUGCCAGCUUUUAGCUUUGCUUCUUAGCUUUUAGCCAUGCUGUUUGUCAUCACUGUUCUUUGAGCGCGGCUCUUGCGUGCUUCAGCCUGCACGCCUGCUGCUACUUAGCCACGAUGAGAAGAAACACCACCUUGUCAAACUUAAUUUCUUUUCUUUUCCGUUUGAGAGUUUCGUGUUCUGAGUUAAGUUUUGUAACGGGUGCCCCUUCAACUUCAAACAGCCACACAACUCCAUCUUCAGCCAACGUCCAACCACGGGCUUCCCAAGACGUCACUUCAGCGACUGGACUUCCAGACAAUCAGCGACAACAAAGGGACACUUUCAGGCAAUGUACCUUCAGACAUUUGUGCUGGUGUAUCUAAUAUAAUUUUAAUCUCAUUGAGGAACUCAAUGCGAGGGUUAAUUAAGUGAUUGAUGGCUGUUCAUGUCUAUGCAAUUUAACAAAUUGCUGUAAACUUAGGAUUCCAGAUUUCCAUUCUCUUAAACUCAUCUUUCCCUAACAUUCGAUCUUCCUGCAACUUGUGUGAAUGUGUGACUGCGUGCGUUUGUGUUAGAUUAGUUUAUAUGUCUUAGAUUUAUCUAAAUAAAGCCUUAUUCAUAUUGAUGAGAUAUUAAUAUCCAGCACAGAUUUGAUGUUAAACGGCUCGUUCAGUGAAUCGCAGGGCGUCUCCGUGACCAGCCGUGAAACAGUGAUUCUGUUCAAAUUCCAUUUAAAUUAUUAAAUUAUUCACUUUGAGCUAAAUUGACCUGUUUCCCUUACACUGUCAAGAGCGGAAUCCAAAUCUUCAAUACUUCUAUUGCUUGAUCUGUCUGCUGCUUUUGACAUGGUUAACCACCAGAUCCUCCAAUCAACCCUACUGGCAAAGGGCAUCUCAUGAACCACACUUCAGUUGUUUGAGACUUACUCAUCAGAUAGGUCCUUCAAAAUAUCUUUGAUAGUUGAGGUGUCCAAGUCACAGUAUCUAACAACUGGGGUGCCUCAGGGCUCAGUUCUUGGACCACUUCUCUUCUCUGUCUACAUGGCAUCAUUAGGUUCUGUCAUUAGGCUUUUCAUACCACUGCUAUGCUGAUGACACUCAACUCUACCUCUCAUUCCAUCCUGAUGAUCCGACGGUAGCUUCUCGCAUCCCAGCUUGUC
rnacentral:lncRNA from 1 species